ACCGCGCUGGUUGGGGGAGGGAGUGUGCCUGCAAUACGCCGUGACCAGCGAGGGUCUGGAGGAGAGGGGCUGUGCAUAGAAGUUAAACCACGUUUAGGGGAGGAGUUCGGAGGAGCCGCCCCCUCUGGUAGGAACAGCAGUGAACACACGCCCUUUCCCUCUCGCCCGGUAGCGUGACUGCUUCUCCCGGGUCGGUUUCCUCCCGGUGUUUCCCCCUCCCCACCCGAGAAGGCCUAUUUUAGAUCGUGGAGAGGAGGAAACCGAGGGCCGUUUAGCUAAACGGGCUGUCUUCUCCCCACCAGUGAAGGAGGUAGGUCGGGGUGUUUGUGUCUUUAGUUAAAACGGCGCUGAAGCAUGGAGUUGCAGGGUAAUCUUAACCGCGUUGCUGAAUCGCGGUAACUUUGGAAACCUACGGUGUAGAGAACUUGCCAUGUGUCUGAAAGUUUACUGGGGGGCAGGAAUGUAUUCUUCUUUACUUUUCUUUGGAAAGUACUCGGAGAGCGAACUUGUAGUUUAAGUUGUCUUUAUAGAAAAGAUAAGAGGUUGCAUAAGGUCUUCGUUGAAUGCUCUGAUUUUUUUUUCGUUCUCAAGAUACUUUUAAGUAACUGGUUGUACUUGUGUUCCAUGGAAGCCUGAUCUGGGAUGUGGAUCCUAGGUAUUUUGGAUCUUUUGGAGUAAUAAACACAAAAUCAGUUGCAGCUGUAAAACUUGACAGGUGUACAUUUAUAGGUUAUAGUCUUGAUAUUUAAGUAAUAUCUCUAAUAUGCUUAUUAACCUCUAAUAUGAGGUUAAAAAAUGGAAGCUAGGACUGCUUGCUAAGUAGGUGAGUUUGGCACAGUGAUUUGUGAAACAAUUGGGGGGUUUAUAGCUCUUCCUUAGAUCAAUAGUGUAUACCUGCAUGCAGAGGUAAGGGCAGAUUAAGCUUAAAGUUCCAGCCUUAGGGAAUUGUUUCAUGUCAAAAAGGUGGAUUAAUGGGACUGCUCUGAAGCAUCUGUCUUUGGCCUUUUGCAAGGCAGGAUGUUGGACUAGUGGUCUGAUCUUGAAUGACAGUGCCUGUGUUCUGAAAUACAGUGGUGAUGUGACUUUGCUGCUCAGGGUGACAUUUCAGUGUACAUUCUGCUGGUGAUUUACUUGCCGGCACUGGGCUCUUGCUACAGAUACCAUGAGCAGUGCCUAGUCUUACAGACGUUUGGAGUUACACCAAGUCCAGACCCAAACAAUGACCUCUGUAAUUGGGAACCUCUAGUCGUACCUGAUCUAGUACGGGUCUGACUGAAAUGAGCAAGAUGAAGCUGUGUAUGACCAACUUGCUACAAUGUGGUAAUACUGCAAUUUCCACCUUGUUUGAGAAGUGAUGUCAGAAACCAUUGUUUUACAAAGCUGCUAGAACAAAAUAUCUGGCAGUUCUACUUCCCCCUCCCCCCCCGCCUCCUUCUUUACGCUUUUAGAUGAAAAAAACCUAAUACCUGAUCCUUACACUGAAUCAGACAUCUUACUUAGUAACUUUAUGGUUCUUAACAUGCUUACCAGAAUAAAUUCAGUCUUUUCGCAUGUGAGAUGGCUCAGGAGGCAAUCUUCAGGAAGGCUGCCUGUUGGAAUAGAAAUUUGAGGCCCUGGAUGGUAUGCCAUAACAAGCUUGCCAGUAGCUGUAUUCCUAAAUCAGUAUUUUACCAUAUUCGGGCUGUGGGUGAGUGAGCAGUGCUCUCUGUAGCACAUUGCUGUUGUACUUUGCUCCACUCACGCCUGCUCUGAAGCUUGGAUGGUAUUCAACCUGUAGAAAUCUAAUGACUGGUCUAGCCUUCCUUUUGUUUGCUUGUUUGUUUUGGGGGGUUUUGGUUUUUUGAGGGGUUGGUGGGGGUUUUUUGUUUUGUUUUUAAGAGGCUUGGCCUAGGGUUGGAUGAAAAACAAUUAUAUUCCUUCGUCUUUUGAAGGCUACUGCUGUAAGCCAUGAACAGAAGUACUUGUACAGGAGGGCAACUUAUAAUUGAUUUCGAAUGGAUCGACAGCCAGAACAAAACGAUGGCUUUUGGGGUGUCUUUCAGCUAAGGGGUCUUACCAGCAAUGCAUGAUGUUAAUCACAAAUGCAGUUUGGUUAUGGGAACAGAAUGUGGAAUUCAACAGUUGGUGCUCUGCGGUGCGGGACAGGGGAAGGGCUUUGUGGUUCCUGUGCUGGAUGGAGCUUGUGUUGGCUUCUCU